ensembl:ncRNA C54H2.7 ncRNA
UUUCUCGCCUUCCAAUUUCGACGACUCAUUCUUAUAUUCCCCUGGAGAAUUGGGCGGCGGAAAGGUGUGAGCAACAUCGUCCCAACUCUCAAUGGUGCUUUUCAUCAUUUUCGCGCAGG